rnacentral:rRNA from 1 species
CCUACGGGACGCAGCAGUGGGGGAUAUUGCACAAUGGGGGGAACCCUGAUGCAGUGACGCCGCGUGGGUGAAGAAGCGCCUCGGCGCGUAAAGCCCUGUCAGCAGGGAAGAAAAUGACGGUACCUGAAGAAGAAGCCCCGGCUAACUACGUGCCAGCAGCCGCGGUAAUACGUAGGGGGCAAGCGUUAUCCGGAUUUACUGGGUGUAAAGGGGGCGCAGACGGCGAUGCAAGCCAGGAGUGAAAGCCCGGGGCCCAACCCCGGGACUGCUCUUGGAACUGCGUGGCUAGAGUGCAGGAGGGGCAG